CAACCUGCCUUUAAGACGAGGAUAACAAUUGGAAACAGUUGCUAAGACUGGAUAGGAAAUUAAAAGGCAUCUUUUAAUUUUUAAAAGACCUUUUUCGGAAGGUAUGCUUAAAGAGGGGCUUGCGCCACAUUAGUUAGUUGGUAAGGUAAAGGCUUACCAAGACGAUGAUGUGUAGCUGGACUGAGAGGUCGAACAGCCACAUUGGGACUGAGACACGGCCCAAACUCCUACGGGAGGCAGCAGUAAGGAAUUUUUGGCAGAGGAUCAAACUCUGACCGAGCGACGCCGCGUGAACAAUGAAGUACUUCGGUAUGUAAAGUUCUUUUAUUGAAAAAGAAAAAAUAGUGGAAAAACUAUCUUGACAUAAUUCAAUGAAUCAGCCCCGGCUAAUUAUGUGCCAGCAGCCGCGGUAAUACAUAAGGGGCGAGCGUUAUCCGGAAUUAUUGGGCGUAAAGGGUGCGUAGGCGGUUUGAUAAGUCUAUAGUUUAAUUGCAGUGCUUAACGCUGUACCGCUAUAGAAACUGUCUGACUAGAGUUAGAUAGAGGCAAGCGGAAUUCCAUGUGUAGCGGUAAAAUGCGUAAAUAUAUGGAGGAACACCAGAGGCGUAGGCGGCUUGCUGGGUCUUAACUGACGCUGAGGCACGAAAGCGUGGGGAGCAAACAGGAUUACGUACCCUGGUAGUCCACGCCGUAAACGAUGAGUACCAAGUGUCGGGUUUCGGCUCGGUACUGAAGUUAACACAUUAAGUACUCCGCCUGAGUAGUACGUACGCAAGUAUGAAACUUAAAGGAAUUGACGGGACCCCGCACAAGCGGUGGAUCAUGUUGUUUAAUUCGAAGAUACACGAAAAACCUUACCAGGUCUUGACAAAAUUUUGCGUACAUUAUAGAAAUAUAAUGAAGGUUAUCAGAAUUACAGGUGGUGCAUGGGUGUCGUCAGCUCCUGUCGUGAGAUGUUAGGUUAAGUCCUAAAACGAGCGCAACCCUUGUCGUUAGUUGCGACCACAUAAUGGUGAGCACUUUAGCGAGACUGCCAAUGAAAAAUUGGAGGAAGGUGAGGAUUACGUCUAAUCAUCAUGCCCCUUAUGAUCUGGGCUACSAACGUGAUACAAUGGCUGUUACAAAGGUUGGCUGAAACGUUACUUUCUAGCCAAUCCCAAAAAAACAGUCUCAGUUCGGAUUGAAGUCUGCAACUCGACUUCAUGAAGUUUUAAUCGCUAGUAAUCGCG
rnacentral:rRNA from 1 species